AAUCAACGCUGGCGGCGUGCCUCAGACAUGCAAGUCGAACGCUGCUGUUCGCCUUCGGGUGGACAGCGGAGUGGCGCACGGGUGAGUAACACGUAGGUAAUCUACCUUUGGGUGGGAAUAACAGCCGGAAACGGCUGCUAAUACCGCAUAAUGCAGCGGCAUCACAUGAUGACAGUUGUUAAAGCGAGGGAUCGUAAGACCUCGCGCCUGAAGAGGAGCCUGCGGCAGAUUAGGUAGUUGGUGAGGUAAUGGCUCACCAAGCCUGCGAUCUGUAACCGGCCUGAGAGGGCGGUCGGUCACACUGACACUGACAUACGGGUCAGACUCCUACGGGAGGCAGC
rnacentral:rRNA from 1 species